UUUUUUUUUUUUUUUCUGGUCAGGAAGAAAAACAAGAAGUUUCCUUCCGCAAACUUCCUAAAAGGUGCCAUGUGUUUUCCUAAAACCAAGGAAAAUUCUAAAAUAGAACUACCAUAUGAUUCAGCAAUCCCACUUGUAAGUAUAUAUUCAAAGAAAAUGCAAUCAGUUUGUCAAAGAGGAAAUUAAAUCAGUAUGUUGAAGAGAUAUCUGCAUUGCCGUGUUCACUGCGGCAUUAUUUACAACAGCCAAGGUAUAGAAAUGACCUAAAUGUCCACUGGCAGAUAUAUGGAUAAAGAAAUUGUGGUAUAUUGAUACAAUGGGAUAUUAUUCAGCCAAAAUGAGGAAAGCCUGUCGUUUUCAAUUAUAUGGAUGAACUAGAGGACAUCAUGCUAAAUGAAAUAAGCCAGGCACAAAAAGACAAAUACUGUAUUUUCUCAUUCAUAUUGUGGUAUCUAAAAAAUGUUGAACUCAUAGAAGCAGAGAAUAGAACAAUGGCGUCCAGGGUUUGGACAGGGUGUGUGAAAUGGGGAGAUGAUGGUUAAAAGGUAAAAACUUUCAAUUCUGACAUGAACCAGUUCUGGAAAUCUAAUGAACAACAUGGGUAUUGAUGAUAGCUGUGUUAAUUUGACUGCAGUAAUGAAUACACAAUCUAUAUGCAUAUAAAGACAUCACAUUGUACGUCCUAAAUAUAUUCAAUCUUUAUUUUUCAAGUAAAUAUUUUAGAAUUAAAAAAAUAGAAAUUAUUUUAUUGAUUGACAAACGAAUAGUUUCUAAGAGAGCUAGAUUAAAAUAUACAUCAUACUAGCACUGGAUAAGUGAAUCAAGUCUUAUGUUAACAUUAGUUGACCAACAUUAUUUUCUAAUAGGUUUAUCAGAGAGGCAUAUAUAGACAUUGGAUAAUCUCAUUGUUGUUCUCUUUCACUUAGAUCAGAAUCUCUUAACAUUCAAAUAAUGACUGAAAUGUGUGUAUUUCAAGAAGUGGAAAAUAAGUUACAACCUUUUGUCAGAUUCUCAAAGAGAUUCUUGACCAGAAAAGAUUCUGAACCUCUGUGUAGAAGUAACAUGUUUUUAUCCAACAUUGCACAAUGGUUCUUGACUGUUCUUUAGAACUAAUGUUCUUCAUUUUGACUUGUACAAAUUGUGGAAGUCCAGUAGGAGUAUAGAGACAGACUUUGUAAUAUAUUACAAGACAUUUACAAGUUGAAAAAACUGCUUCAGUGAGUGAGCUACAGUGGUAGAAUUCUAAGAUGGCAUUCCAAUGUUCCAAUCCCCAGGUUAUUCAAUAAUAUGACUCCAGGUAUUGCUGUGAGGGGAUUUUGAAGAUGUAGUUAAAGCCCCAAAGUGGUUGACUUUUUACAAUACGGAGAGCAUUUGGUUGAGACUGAUCUAAUCACAUGAGCCCUUUCAAAGCAGAAUUUUCUCGGGCUAGUAGCAGAAUGGGAAUUGGAAAUUUAAAGUGCAAGAAGGAACUAAUGUGAAGAAGAUUCUCCAUUGCUGAGAUGGAGUGGGGCACGUGGCAGGGAUCUAAGAGUGGCCUCCAGAAGGUGAGAGUGGUCCCUGGUUGACAGCCAGGAAUGCAGUGGAUACCUUAGUCUACUACUGCAAGGAAAUGAAUUCUGCCAACAGCCUGAGUGACCUUGGAAGCAUAUCUUUCUCUAGUCAAGACUCCAGAUAAGUACACAUCUGGACAACACCGUAUUUUCAGCUUUAUAAGAUCCUAAGUAGAGAGCCAAGUUAAAAUUUGCUGGAAUUCUGACCCAGGCAACUGUGAGAUAAUAAAAUUUUGUCACUUUAAGUUGCUAAAUUUAUGGUAAUUUGCUACAUAGCAAAAGAAAAAGUUGCUAAUAAAUAACUUCAAAUCUUUCAUUUGUUUUCAUGAAAUCUGGAUAUCUAUAGACCUAAAUUUAAGAAAUUUAGAGCUAUUGAUAGCUUAGUGGUUUUCUUCCUUGCCACAGGAAAUAUUAUAUCAGGCUAAAAUAAAAUAAGAAGAUAAAAGAAAGGUGAAUUACUAAGUUUUCUUUUGGUCAUUUUCUAUUUAAAACCAAGAGCAGUCUGGGGGAAAAAAAAGUCAGUUUCAUUAUCCUAAUCUAAAGGAUGAACAAUUAAAGUUAUUGGAAAGAGAUCACCACUACAAUUUCACUGUUUGUUUAAUGACUUCUAGUAGUUUUUAAUGUUUAAAUUCUACUCUCUGAGCUCACAUUCUCAUUAUACAUUUGUUUUAAAUAUAACCAAAUUAUGAUUAUGAAUUUAUGUAUGAAGUUUUUAAAACCAUAAGAAUAAAUUUGGUUGCAUCUUAUAAAUAUAGAUUUCCAAACACAUCUAAAAGAAAUUUAUGAUUCGGUGCUCAGAAAAUACAGAAAAAAAAUCUGUAUUUUUCACAUAACUGUAGGUGGU
ensembl:lncRNA LINC02316 long intergenic non-protein coding RNA 2316